UUACUUUGAUAUAAGUACAAGUCUUGCCUGUUUUUUUUUUUUUUAAAGGAGGUUCAAACCCGUGCGAGGUGAGGUUUGAUAUAUGAAACAGACCAGUCAUGGGGACACGAGAUAUGGAAAGUUUCAGCGUAGUCGUCGCCACAUUGCUGCCAACACUGCAUAUAUAAGGAAUCACGAACCAUUCAGGAAUAUUGAGACUUAGACCAGUAUCUUUUUAAGUAGGCAUGUGGGGUAAAGAAGACGCAGAAGCUUCAGUCGGGUACCAUCGGUAACGUAGGCGAUUGAUAUAUUUCCACCACUACAUAUGUUGGAUUGGAAUUUCCCAUUUGAUGCUUUGACUGACUAAAUGAGGAAACUUGGAGAUAUUAUUGGUGGUGCCUGCCAGCUUCCAGUUCCGAGAAAAGAAAUCCAACACUUUUCGUCUUUAUUUCCCCUGUCCUUUGUGCGCAAUAAAAGUACAGUUUGUACCCGCGAGGGUACA